CCCACCCUCAUGGGAGCCAGUGUCACUGCCUCCUGCCUAGACCCUGCAGGGGCUGCUCAGGGACCUUCCCACAAUCCUUCAGGAAUCCCCUCAAAUCCAGGCUCCUAUAAUAGCAGUGAUCUCCCCAAAACACCGGCCAGAGCAGGUCAGCCCAACUGAAAAUCCUCCAGUGAGCUGGGUCCCACAUUCCUUAAGACAAUACCUCCAUGGCUGCUGCCCUAGCACCCUCUGCACCCUUGCCUUUGCUUGUCAUAAUCCCUCACACCCUGGAGGUCUUUGCACACCUGGUUCCUCUGCCUGGACAUACCUGGCUUCCCAGGUGCCUGAGCUAACUCCUGCCCUUGGAUGUCACUUCUCCAGUAUUGCCCCUCUCAGGCCCAGUGACCCACAUGUGCAUUCACUUCCCACCAUGCCUACUCAAAGCCCUUCUUUUGGUGGGAGCUCUGAGGAGGAGGGACAGAGUCUUUUUCUUUUUUUUCAACAGGGUCUUGCUCUGUCGCACAGGCUGGAGUGCAGUGGCAUGAUCUCGGCUCACUGCAACCUGCGAUUCCCGGGUGGCAAGUAAUUCUCCUGCCUCAGCCACCCAAGCAGCCUGUAGUCCACAGGCGUGCGCCACCAUGCCCAGCUAAUUAUUGUAAUUUUAGUAGAGAUGGGGUUUCACCAUGUUGUCCAUGGUUCCAUGGCUGGUCUCGAACUCCUGACCUCAGGUGAUCCACCUCAGCCUCCCAAAGUGCUGGGAUUACAGGCGUGAGCCAUUCCGCCUGGCCAGCAGGGGCUGUUUUGUUUCCUGCUUUCAUUCCAGGGCUGGCACAUGGGAGGCACUCAGCAGAUAAUGUAUCUGAGUUCAUGAGGCCCCUGGAGGUUUGCUUGACUCCAAAGACCCCAGGACCACCAGGGUGUGAGACCAUGGCCAGGAGAAGGGAACUGUCACGUAAGCUAUGAAGCAUAUGUAAUAUUCUUGUGAGCUCCAUCCCCCACCAACCCUGGGCGACCUCUCGGUCUGUCUUUGCCAGGCUGUGAGGUGGAGCAGAAAGGGCCUGACCUAGCGUUCCAGUCUCAACUGUGCCACUGCUGGCUGGCUGUGGGCUGGGCAGCUGACUUCCUCUUGCUGGAAUGAGUCUGGCCAUCCCUAAACAGGGGGACUUUGGUCUGAUUCAGUCAUUCAGUCAACAAAUAUUUCCCAAAAGCCUAGUAAGUGCCUGGUGUGUGUACUGGAGAUACAGCAGUGAAUGACACAAAGUCACUCUCCUGGUGGAUAGCAAAAAUAAGCAAACAUAGCAAAAUAGAGGCCUAGGCUGGGGAAAACAGUGGGGGUGUGCCUUAGAGGGGAUGGGGGAACAGCAUGUGCUAAGGCCCUGAGGUGGGGCAAAUGGGCUUGUGGCAUGCAGGACCCUCCUCCGUAGCCACCUCAUGAACCUGGACAAAGUUCAGAGUCUAAAGAGGAAGAGACUUAUCUCUGCUGUUACUCACUCAUGACACUCAUUCAGCACGUGAAAACCUUGCCCACAUUGUUUCCCCAUCUGGCAGGUCUCUCCUGGACUGUGUGACCAGCUCUGUGUAGAGCCACCCCAGGAGCCCUCCUGCUGUGCCAGCCCCAGUUCCCCUCACUUCCCUGUGUGCGCCAGCUAAGACGGCCACUCACUAGUCCUGGGAUCUGUCCUGGCCUUUCCAACCUACCAGGCUUUGAAUCCCAAGUUCCUCCCUUCCUAUGUCUGACCUUCCCCAGCCUUCAAGGCCUGGCUCAGAGGCCAUUUCCAGGGCCUUCCCUGAUCACAGACUGGCUACACCCUUUCACUCAUCUGUACUUCUCUGGGCUUGAGUUCACACUUUGCCUCCUAGGAUGCGGCCCUUGCAUUGAGCUUGUCUGUGCCCUCCUGUGUUGCUUAUACGUUCCCAAGAGGCAGGGACCUAUCACUGCUCCUGGUGUCUUUCUACUCCAUGUGCAGCAGGGCCCAUGGAAGGCACAAUGGCAUGAGCAAAGCAGGCCACCUGCUAGCUAAGUUGCCUGGCCUCUCUGUGCCUGCUUCUUCCUCUGUGAAAUGGACUACCAGACGCCAGCCUGCAGGGUGAUGUGAACCCUAAGGACAAGAACGUCUAUAAAGCCCUUUGCAGGUGCUAAUAAUGUGAACCUGCCCCCAGCUGGGGCCUGGUAUGCUAAGCCCAGGCUGGACUGAGGCCUCAUUCUCUUCCUUCCUCUUAACCCAGAUGCCUCCAAAAGAUACCCAGGCCGUUCACUCAAGGCGCUCACAUGUUCCCCUGCUAUCACUGCCAAGGAUUCAGUGGCACUGACCCCUGCCUGUCCCUGCCCCAAAUUCCACUCCCAGCACCUCUCCCACCUCUACAUACAGCAGCCGUAGGGAUUCCCAUUCAGUUUCCCACUGCUCUUGGAAUAAGGUUCUCAUCCCUUACCGGGGCCCUGCCUAACCUGGCCCGCCAGCCUCAUCUUGGCUGCCCUCACCUGUGGUCUAGUUAACCUGUGAACUCAUCAAGGCUUCAUUCUACCCCAAGGCAUCUGCACGUGAGGAUCCCUCUGUCUGAAACUCUCUCCCGGCUGCUGUUCUCAAGGUUGUGUCCCUUCUAGUCAUUCAGGUCCCAGCUCAAAAUCUCUUCUUAGAGGUUUUUCUGACUAAGCCUUUGAGAAACGAGGGAACUCUCCUUCACAGCAUCCUAUUCGUUUCCUUCACAGUGCUUGGCAAAAGUAACAAUAGCAUCAAGCCACUCUCUUGAGACGGCAAGCUUCCUGAAGGCAGGUGCUAUGGUAUCCUCUCCAAAAUUUAUGUUGAAACUUAAUCUCCAUUGUGGUGGUAUGAAGAAAUGGGUGCAGAAGAUAUCCACAACCAAAAAUAUAAAUAAAUAAGAAGUGUGGCCUUUUGUGAAGUCAGGAGGGCUCUGCCCUCAUCAGUGAACUAGUGCCUUAUAAAAGGGCUGGAGGAAACUAGCAUAGGCCAUUUUUUUUGCCCUUCUGUUCUUCUGUCAUGUAAAAGCAGUGUUCAUGCCCUUUCUGUUCCUUCCACCAUGUGAGGACACGUAGGUGGCACCAUCUACAAGGAACAGGCCUUUACCAGACACAGAACCUGCCAGCGCCUUGAUCUUGGACCUCAGAGUCUCCAGAACUGUGAAGAAUUAAAUUUCUAGAGCUGGGCACAGUGGCACACACCUGUAAUCCCAACUACUCACGAGGCCAAGGCAAGAGGAGCCAAGGAGUUUCAGACCAGUUCGAGCAAAAUAGUGAGACCUCCAUCUCCAAAAAAGAAAAAAAGAAAUUAAAUUUCUAUUGUUUCUAAAUUACCCAGUCCCAGGUAUUUUGUUAUAGAAGCACAAAUGAACUGAGACAGCAGGAAACUUGCUGAUCUUGUUCACUGUUAUUCUCAGUUGCUGGUGUUGAAUGUUUAAUAGUAACUCAAUAAAUAUUUGCUGGAAGAAAUAAACUUUUUUUAGGCCGUGCACAGUGGCUCACGCCUGUAAUCCAAGCACUUUGGGAGGCCAAGGCAGGCGGAUCACUUGAGGUCAGAAGUUUGAGACCAGCCUGGCCAACAUGGUGAAACCCUGUCUCUACUAAAAAUACAAACAUUAGCCGGGCAGGGGCCAGAGCCUCUUAUCCCAGCUACUCGGGAGGCUGAGGCAGGAGGAUUGCUUGAACCUGGGAGGCGGAGGUUGCAGUGAGCCAAAAUUACGCCACUGCACUACAGCCUGGGCGACAGAGUGAGACUCCAUCUCAAAAAAAAAAAAAGGAAAAGGAAA
rnacentral:lncRNA from 1 species